rnacentral:rRNA from 1 species
CCCUUAGAUGUUCUGGGCUGCACGCGCGCUACACUGACACUAUCAACGAGUGCUCCUGGUUUGAAAGGAUCGGGUAAUCUUUUGAAAUGGUGUCGUGAUGGGGAUAGAUCAUUGCAAUUAUUGAUCUUGAACGAGGAAUUCCUAGUAAAUGUGAGUCAUCAGCUCACGUUGAUUACGUCCCUGCCCUUUGUACACACCGCCCGUCGCUCCUACCGAUUGAGUGAACCGAUGAGUAGUCCGGAUUGCGAUCGACCUCGGUUAAUCGCGAAAAGUUCCGCAAAUCACUUCACUUAGAGGAAGGAGAAGUCGUAACA